GUGAGCUGGACAGAGGAGAGACAAGAGAAGUUCUUCAUUCAUUCAAACAUUGAUUGUUGCUUUGUUGGUUGGCGUGAUUGGGAAGCAGCAGACGGGUAAAAAGGGAGUGGCACAGGCUGUUUACGUAAAUAGAGUCUGCUCUUUUAUAACCCUGUUUACAUCUAAUUGCUAUAAUAACAUCAGCUAUGUUUUUGUUCUGACCUUUAGUCAUCCACUUUUACUUUUGGUUCAUAGAAACCACAGAGUUAUAGUUUGUCAUUGCGCAGCAGAGACAGCAGAGACAAGCUGAUCCUGCUGAUAGGCGCAUGUCCGGGCAGACUGCGAUGACUUCACAAAUCACGACUCACGCUGACAUGAUGCUGCUGCUGCUGGUCCUCUCUGCUUUACUGACAGGUGUGUUUUCAGGGAGACGAAGAGAGGUACACAUCAAGGCAGGUGAGAUGGUGGCGCUGCAGUGCCCCUAUCGAAGAGGGGUCAAUCAUAGCGCUGCCGACCUGGUCUGGACCCAUCACACUGAACAGGAAGUGGACCUGAUCAGGUCCUCAGCUGAGCAGAGGCAGAGGGGAGUGCUGGUUGAUGGGAGGAGCAUGGUGAUCCUCAGCGUGUCUGUAAACCAUCAGGGGAAUUACUCGUGCACUUAUGGGACUCCCAGCAGCCGGUCCUGGUUCAUGCUGACAGUUUACAGCACGCAGAGCAGAGAGUAUGAAGAGAGGAGCACAUACCCUAAAACCUGCUACACACAGGAGUCCUGCACGCUGCACUGUCCGGAUCUUUAUAUCCCCAAUGAUGAAACUCCAAAUAUCACCAGCCGUGGCAUCACAUGGAACAAGAGAGGCGAGGUCCAGCCCAGCAACAGCUUCUUUCCAAGUACAGAGGAGAAGGACCACGGUGUCUACACCUGCACCAGAUCUUACCUGUACCAGGAUCAAGUGUAUAACAAGACCUUCACAGUGCUCCUUGAUGUCCGGCCUGGCAUGAUACCUGGGAAGGCAGAGAUUCUCUCCCCUCAACAGAAUGACGUGUUUCACGUCGCUCUCGACUCUAUACUGGUGGUUGAAUGCCGAGCUGUUGCGUCCUCAGACUUUGAUGAUGUGUUCUGGUUAAGUGGAACUUCCUUUGUGGAGAGAAACAACAGCUUGCCAGUUUUCUACAACUAUACCAGAGACGCUGAAGGGAUGAAGAUGACUGCAUCUUUAGUUUUCAGGAAAGUGUCUGAGGAGGAUCUGUCCAAAAGUUACACAUGUAAACUGGAGUCUGAUAAUCAACCAUCCAGCUUCGUCACCAUCACAUUGGCCCAGAAAGUUCAGAAUGAACCUGGCCCUCAUCCUGCGAGACACUUUGUGUUGUUACCGCAGCGUCUCGGGUGGAAAAAGCCAUGACGCCGCAAAGACCGGUCUGACUGAAGAGGACAGAAAGGGGCAGCAGAGCGUUUGCCCUCGUGAUUGUAACGUCUUACCAGAGAGAGAUGCUGCGGAGUCAGUGUAAGACUGCCUUUCUCAAAGAAAGCCAUGCGUCUCUUGUGGAGCAGCAAGCUACACUUUCAUUUACCUGCUCUGCAUCACACACCGACCGUGAGGCCUCUACUGAGAACCUCGGCUCCAGAGGAUCACUGGAGAGGAGGGAAGCUUUUGUGUGGUGGUGCAGUGUGCUUGGAAGCCAGGUGAUGGAUCUACAGUCCUAAAUUAGAGGGUUUUAGUUUGGACAGAAAAAGAUCGGGUCCACAGGUUGUCUCUCUCAUCAGGGAGAACCUGCAAACUCAAUCAGCUGUUGGAGGCUGUAUCAUAUAUUAUAUACAUAUUUAUGUAUCUGUUAUAAUCACACUAUGUAAACCUGUCACUGCUGAAUUACACUCACUUACGACUAUUUACACCAUGUGUACCAUUUUACACUACCUUUAAAUUAAUAUACUUGUUUUUAUUUAGUUUUUGUCCAGAUUUUACUAAUCUACCUGCUAUAGUUUAAUAAGCUCCCCUCUGGAAGGGUUGUCAGAACAGAUACGACAGACACAACUCGAGUCUCCUUCUUUUUACGCUUAUUGCACACAUCAAACGCACACUUGCCUACCGACACUCAGUGGUUAGAAGUUAUACGACUCUUAAUUAGGGUUUAAACCUGCAAAAUUAACCACUAUAAGUUUACAUUAAUUCUUGUUUGCAACAUCAGCAUUGACGGUAUACAAUUACUCACCGACAAGGCGUACCAGUCCUGACGCUUAACUAUGGUAAAAUGAAACUAAAAGGAUUAACUACACUUUUUGGUAAGCCCUGCCCACUCCACUCACACAGUUGGGAGAUCAGGAUUCACCUAUCACUUAAACAGAACAAUGGUUGCAACUGCUUUAAAGUUAUGCAAUUUUUAUUUUGACUUUAUCUAGAUUGACUCUUUAUUGGUGCUCGGUUCAAUAAAGUCUAACCCAUCUUAAAGA